rnacentral:rRNA from 1 species
ACUAAAUAGAUACCCAGGUAGUCCACGCCCUAAACGAUGUCUACUAGUUGUUGGUGGAGUAAAAUCCAUGAGUAAACGCAGCUAAACGCGUGAAGUAGACCGCCUGGGGAGUACGGUCGCAAGAUUAAAACUCAAAGGAAUUGACGGGGCCCGGCACAAGCGGUGGAUUAUGUGGAUUAAAUUCGAUGCAACGCGAAAAACCUUAACCUGGCCUUGACAUGCCGCUAACGAAGCAGAGAUGCAUUAGGUGCCCGUAAGGGAAAGUGGACACAGGUGCUGCAUGGCUGUCGUCAGCUCGUGUCGUGAGAUGUUGGGUUAAGUCCCGCAACGAGCGCAACCCUUGCCAUUAAUUGCCAUCAUUUAGUUGGGCAC